UACGUAGGGACCGAGCGUUGUCCGGAAUCAUUGGGCGUAAAGAGCUUGUAGGCGGUUUGUCGCGUCUGCUGUGAAAAUCCGGGGCUCAACCCCGGACUUGCAGUGGGUACGGGCAGACUAGAGUGUGGUAGGGGAGACUGGAAUUCCUGGUGUAGCGGUGGAAUGCGCAGAUAUCAGGAGGAACACCGAUGGCGAAGGCAGGUCUCUGGGCCACUACUGACGCUGAGAAGCGAAAGCAUGGGGAGCGAACAGG
rnacentral:rRNA from 1 species